rnacentral:rRNA from 1 species
AUUGAACGCUGGCGGCAUGCCUUACACAUGCAAGUCGAACGGCAGCGGGCCUUCGGGUGCCGGCGAGUGGCGAACGGGUGAGUAAUGCAUCGGAACGUGCCAUUGAGUGGGGGAUAACGUAGCGAAAGUUGCGCUAAUACCGCAUAUUCUGUGAGCAGGAAAGCAGGGGACCGCAAGGCCUUGCGCUCUUUGAGCGGCCGAUGUCAGAUUAGCUAGUUGGUGAGGUAAAGGCUUACCAAGGCGACGAUCUGUAGCGGGUCUGAGAGGAUGAUCCGCCACACUGGAACUGAGACACGGCCCAGACUCCUACGGGAGGCAGCAGCUAGGAAUUUUCCGCAAUGGGCGAAAGCCUGACGGAGCGACGCCGCGUGGGGGAAGAAGGUCCUACGGGAUUGUAAACCUCUUUUCUGCGGGAGGAGAAAGGACUGUACCGCAGGAAUAAGUCCCGGCAAACUACGUG